rnacentral:rRNA from 1 species
GACGUAGGGCGCGAGCGUUGUCCGGAUUUAUUGGGCGUAAAGAGCUCGUAGGCGGCUUGUCGCGUCGACUGUGAAAUCCCGCGGCUCAACUGCGGGUCUGCAGUCGAUACGGGCAGGCUAGAGUUCGGUAGGGGAGACUGGAAUUCCUGGUGUAGCGGUGAAAUGCGCAGAUAUCAGGAGGAACACCGUUGGCGAAGGCGGGUCUCUGGGCCGAUACUGACGCUGAGGAGCGAAAGCGUGGGGAGCGAACAGG